GGGGUUUGUGAAAAUAUUGUGGUGAAUAGGGAUGAAUAAAAUCAAAACACUGACGCAAAAAGAAAUGCAAACACAAAUCUAAAAACGGUUUUCAAGAGAGACUGAAAACGGUUGGUCAUUAACUUGAUUACAAUGCUUCCAAUCACAGAUUAACACAAUAAAGGAGCUACUCUAACCUCUAAGCCAACACAGUUAAGCAACUAAGCGAAGGCUAACUAUGUUUUCAUAAAAGUGAACUAAUC
rnacentral:lncRNA from 1 species